GCAUUUGGUCUAGUGGUUAUGGUGUCACCUAUUUAAGCUUGUGGUGCUGGGUUCGAAACCCAUCCCAUGCA
rnacentral:tRNA from 1 species